GCCCGUCUCUACUAAAAAUACAAAAUUAGCCAGGCGAGUAAUCCCAGCUACUCGGGAGGCUGAGGCAGGAGAAUCGCUUGAACCCAGGAGGCGGAGGUUGCAGUGAGCCGAGAUCAUGCCACCACACUCCAGCCUCGGCAACAGAGGGAGACUGUGUCAAAUAAAUAAAUAAAUAAUAAAUAAAUAAAUAAAUAAAUAAAUAAAUAAAUAAAUAAAGCCAGCCAACCUUCUCCACAUAACCAGUAUGUGGGCCAGAUCCAUUUUUCAUGGGUAU
rnacentral:lncRNA from 10 species